rnacentral:rRNA from 1 species
UCUCGAAGAUUAAGCCAUGUAUGUGUAAGUACAUGCCUAACUAAGGCGAAACCGCGAAUGGCUCAUUAAAACAGUCAUGAUCUAUUUGAUGUUGAUUGUCUACAUGGAUAACUGUGGUAAUUCUAGAGCUAAUACAUGCACAAAAGCCGUGACUUUUAAUUAAGAAGCGGUGCGUUUAUUAGACCAAGACCAAUGGAUGCUUGCAUCCUAAAAAUAUGGUGACUCUGGAUAACUAAUGGCCUAAAAACCAUGAUGCUGACCCUAUGGCCUUUCGCGCCGAGGGCAAAUCAUUCGAGUGUCUGAUCUAUCAACUGUCGAUGGUAAAUUAUAUGUUUACCAUGGUUGUAACGGGUAACGGGGAGUUAGGGCUCGACUCCGGAGAGCAAGCCUGAGAAACGGCUAGCACAUCCAAGGAAGGCAACAGGCGCGCAAAUUACUCAAUGCCAGCUGUAGGCGAAGUAGUGAAGAAAAAUAACGAUGUAGGUUCUUUUUAUAGGAUCUACAAUUGGAAUGAGUACACCGUAAAUACGUUAACGAGUACCAAUUGGAGGGCAAGUCUGGUGCCAGCAGCCGCGGUAAUUCCAGCUCCAAUAGCGUAUAUUAAAGUUGCUGCGGUUAAAAAGCUCGUAGUUGGAUUUCAGACCUAUUGCUAGCAAAGCUGCACUAUUCAACGUCUAUAGGUUUGGCUGGGUGCGUUUACGCGUGCACAGACCGGAUCAUAGGCGGGUGUUAGCUAAUUGCUAGCUGGUCGUUUCGUCACUUUUUAACAGGACGAAGCAGGCUGUAUCAUUGGCUAGUGACCUUGUGUCGCGCUACAAUGGUCAGCGUGUUUACCUUGAGAAAAUUAGAGUGCUCAAAGCAGACAUGGCGGGUCGCAAGGCUUGCAUUUAUGUUUGAAUAAUGUUGCAUGGAAUAAUAGAAUAUGGCCUCGGUUCUAUUCUGUUGGUCUUGUAGAACAACAAACAAGUUCACAUGUUCAAACCAUGUUGUUAGCUAAACAGAAAGACCAUGCACUCUCUCGGGUGUGCAUACUUUCAAAAAAAGUUUCGCUUAUCAACACGAACAUGUGAAUCGAGGCAAUGGUUAAUAGGGACAGACGGGGGCAUUCGUACUGCUUCGCUAGAGGUGAAAUUCUUAGACCGAAGCAAGACGAACUAAAGCGAAAGCAUUUGCCUAGAAUGUUCUCAUUAAUCAAGAACGAAAGUUAGAGGUUCGAAGGCGAUCAGAUACCGCCCUAGUUCUAACCAUAAACGAUGCCAACUAGCAAUCAGGCUGAGUUUUUUAAAAUACAAAUGACUCGCCUGGCGGCUUCGCGGGAAACCAAAGUUUUUCGGUUCCGGGGGAAGUAUGAUUGCAAAGUUGAAACUUAAAGGAAUUGACGGAAGGGCACCACCAGGGGUGGAGCCUGCGGCUUAAUUUGACUCAACACGGGGAAACUUACUAGAUUAGAACGCUGGAAUGAUUGACAGAUUAAUAGCUCUUUCUUGAUUCAGCGAGUGGUGGUGCAUGGCCGUUCUUGAUUCGUAGAAUGAUUCGUCUGCUUAAUUGCGAUAACGAGUGAGACCUCGACCUACUAACUAGUUUUGUUCAUCAUUUGGGAUAUAAAACGCCCUGCGUGUGAACGGCUCAUUGUGCGUGCAGCAAUGUACGUAUUGGUGGGUAUCGGCGCGUGCAGGGUAGGCCCUCUGCUGGACAAAGACUUCUUAGCGGGAUAAACGGUGUUUUAGCCGUAAUAAAUGAGGCAAUAACAGGUCUGUGAUGCCCUUAGAUACUCUAGGCCGCACGCGUGCUACACUGGUAGAGGCAGCAUGCUUAAUUUAAACAAUUGCCUCGAAGUUCUACUUGUCUUCUGCGUAUUACGUGAGAGUGUUCGCAUUUGAUCGUGUGCGUAUGUUGGCUAGUGUGAGUCGUGGGUGUAUUGUUUGAAAAAACCUUGGCUGAAAAGCCCGGGCAAUCCUUUGAAACUCUACCGUGAUUUGGGAUUGGGAAUUGCAAUUGUUUUCCAUGAACGAGGAAUCCCCAGUAAGCGCAAUUCAUCAUAUUGCGUUGAUUACGUCCCUGCCCUUUGUACACACCGCCCGUCGCUACUACCGAUUGAAUGAUUUAGUGAGGUCUUUGGACUGGCUUGCACGACGAUUGAUCUCGGUCAUGUUGUAGUGCAAAGCUGGGAAGAUGAUCAAACUUGAUCAUUUAGAGGAAGUAAAAGUCGUAA